GAAUUCACUAGUGAUUCAGGCCUAACACAUGCAAGUCGAGCGAACCACUUCGGUGGUGAGCGGCGAACGGGUGAGUAACACGUAGGUGAUCUGCCCAUCAGACGGGGACAACGAUUGGAAACGAUCGCUAAUACCGGAUAGGACGAAAGUUUAAAGGUGCUCCUGGCACCGCUGAUGGAUGAGCCUGCGGCGCAUUAGCUAGUUGGUAGGGUAAAGGCCUACCAAGGCGACGAUGCGUAGCCGACCUGAGAGGGUGAACGGCCACACUGGGACUGAGACACGGCCCAGACUCCUACGGGAGGCAGCAGUGGGGAAUAUUGCACGAGGGGCGAAAGCCUGAUGCAGCAACGCCGC
rnacentral:rRNA from 1 species